rnacentral:rRNA from 1 species
UACGUAGGAGGCAAGCGUUGUCCGGAAUCACUGGGCGUAAAGCGCGUGUAGGCGGAUCGCUAAGUCUGUGGUGAAAGCGCCUGGCUUAACCGGGCGAGGUCCGUGGAAACUAGCGGGCUGGAGUGUGGCAGAGGGGGGUGGAAUUCCACGUGUAGCAGUGAAAUGCGUAGAGAUGUGGAGGAACACCGAUGGCGAAGGGCAGCCCCCUGGGCUAACACUGACGCUCAUGCACGAAAGCGUGGGGAGCAAACAGG